rnacentral:lncRNA from 1 species
CGUAGCAUUAAUGCCGUGAACUGAUUUGCCGCUGAUGCCCCUCUUCUCUCCCGCCUGCUUGGGGCCCAGUGGGUCUGGGUGUCAUUACCUUCACCUCCACAAGGGAACGUGCCAGACCGACGAGUACCUGGAAGGCUGUCGCAUCUACAAACCUCUGAUCAACGCAAGCGAGUGCCGGAUGGAGGGGGGCGAAAGAGCGAUCGAGUGGAGCGGGGAGAUCUAUGGACCAGAGAGUCGCUGCUUCUUCUCUGACCUGCACAGAGAGAACAUCUCUCUUUCUCCAAGCGGUUCAGCGGAGGGUCGGUGCUACAGACACCGCUGUACUGGGCUCAACCAGUACCAGGUCCAGGUGUUUGACUCUCACUGGAUGGACUGUCCAGCCGGCACCUCCAUACAGGUGUUGGGGUACACCGGGUCCAUCCUCUGUCCUCAUGAGACACUAUGUCACCAUUCACAUGUCACCGCUCCCACAAGCUAUGAGGCUCUUCCACCUCCUGGUCCUCCCACCAGUGGUGGCUCCUCCUCUCAGAGAGGGGGGUCUUUGGCCCCUGGGUUUUACUCCGAUUCCCCCCCGACUUUCACGGUGCCAGAGAGCAGCGUCGAACUCCCUCUAAUCACAGCCCUGGGGGGUGCGGCAGCGCUGUGUCUCACAGGCGCUCUAACGGCUGUUCUGUACCUGGCCUGUAGGGGGCACUACGCCCUCGGAGUCAGGGUGCAUGCUGUCACGGACAUGGAGACGGCUUGAGCGCUGUCCCUGCUGUCCAUUCAUAAUCCAUCAUAUCUCUGCACAAAUAAAGUUCUAGUAAAAUGUCA